UGGGGAAUAUUGCACAAUGGGCGCAAGCCUGAUGCAGCCAUGCCGCGUGUAUGAAGAAGGCCUUCGGGUUGUAAAGUACUUUCAGCGGGGAGGAAGGGAGUAAAGUUAAUACCUUUGCUCAUUGACGUUACCCGCAGAAGAAGCACCGGCUAACUCCGUGCCAGCAGCCGCGGUAAUACGGAGGGUGCAAGCGUUAAUCGGAAUUACUGGGCGUAAAGCGCACGCAGGCGGUUUGUUAAGUCAGAUGUGAAAUCCCCGGGCUCAACCUGGGAACUGCAUCUGAUACUGGCAAGCUUGAGUCUCGUAGAGGGGGGUAGAAUUCCAGGUGUAGCGGUGAAAUGCGUAGAGAUCUGGAGGAACACCGGUGGCGAAGGCGGCCCCCUGGACGAAGACUGACGCUCAGGUGCGAAAGCGUGGGGAGCAAACAGG
rnacentral:rRNA from 1 species